rnacentral:lncRNA from 1 species
AGCUUCGAUACCACCCCAAAUUACGAUUUAACCCCAAAUUGAGUCCAAGUUCUUUGAUUAUUCCAAUUCAAAACAAUCAAUCGAUUGACGUUAACAACGAACCACUAUGAUCCAAAAUAUAUCAAAAUCAACAAAACAAAACAAAGCCCACACACCAUGAAUUUAUCACACCAAGUAUUACACGAUUAAAAAUUAAUUGAGAAUAAAAUGAAGAAUGAACCUUUUAUUCAAUCAAAUAGAGGAGCUUCGCGGAUUCGGAACCUCGACUUAAACCGACCUUGAAUAAAACCCUAUUUGGCAUCGAAUUUCGACCCCGAAACAGAUUUGAAAAUCAAGCGGAACCUCUAAAUCGCAAACCUCAAUCAACAAAUCAAACGAACAAUGGAAAACUCGAACGGAGGGGUGAACUGGCACUACUGGUCGCCGAUUUUGGUGAUAUUACCCAACGAAUUCCAAUAAUUUCAGCUAGAACAGUGAAGGACGGGACUGGGGAGAUGGUUUUUAGGUCAGUCACGUUUUCGAUCAGACCUCCAAUCGAUUUCAGCUUGCCGUCGCCUUUCUCUCUCUCUUUCUUCUAUCUCACGAUCUCACUCUUGCUCGAAUCUCUCUUUCUUUAUCUCCCUCCUCUCUCGAUUUCUCUAUCACAUUGGUUUUACUGUGUGUGGUGUGUUUGUGAACGAAGAAUAAAAAAAAGGUGCAUGCCUCUGUUUUCGUGGUUGAUUCUGUGUGUGGUGUAUAUGAGGUGCUAUGGUCUUCUGUGAGGGGUGAUUAUUGUGAAUGGAAUUGUGUGGGUGUGUACCAUGUGUAUGUACUUCAAUAGAAAAAGAAAAUGGAGAAAUGGAGUUGUGGGUGUAUCCUCUAGUGAAUCGAAACUGAGAGUAUAUAGUGUGGAGUGUGUAUGUGAAUAUGGUGAUGGAGUAUGUGCUCUUUUUUCGUGAGGAUUUUUUGGUAUCCCCGUCCCUUUUUCUAACCCCUUUACUUUGUGAAAAAGAAACAUGUAAAAGAGUAGUUAGGUAGGUUGGGUAGUAGGCUAGGGUAGGGUAGUGAGGUGGAUGAGUUUGUUAGGAUAAGGUUUGUUAGGAUAGGGAAUGAAUUUAUUCAAUUUUGUUAUAGUUUGUAUUUUUGUGGGGUAUAAAUACAUGGGUGAGGGUGUAGGAUAAAGAUAAAACAAUGGAUAUAUUUGGUUUCGGGAGGGACAAAAUUAGGUUUCUACAUCAUGCCCCUUUUUGGGUGUAAACACAAAGCUUUUUCAGACAAAAAAAGUAGACAACGAGACCAAGUUUUGACCCAACCAUUAUUCAAUGAAAGAAAUAGAAAGAAGAAGAACAACCGGGUCUUCACUUAGGACAUCCUACCCACCCAAGUUACGGAGGAAUCAAGUCACGUGUAUCUUAAAGGAUUGGAAGGAGAAGGACUAUACAGAGUUAGAGAGUCGAGUGAGGUUCCAUCGAGGCUCCGGUCUGCGGCUCUGUUAUUACAUCAAAAUGAAAAUUACAAGUCAAUACAUAAAUGAAAUUAUAAAAUCCUAUCCAUACAGGUUCUUUUUUACUUGAGUUUCAUCGCCCUAUUCUUCAGGCGAGCUCCUGAUUUGCAAUUUUUUCAACUUACUGCUUGAUUUUCAACUUCAUCACCCUAUUCUCCAGGUUGGCUCCUGACUUGCUAUUUUUUCAAUCUAUUGACUUUCAGUUUUUUCACCUUGUUGCUUGACUUCAACUUCUUCACCACGUUGCUUGACUUUUCAUUUAUUCGCCCUGUUCUUCAGGAGGGCUCCUGAAAUCACAUCAAAACUAAAAAGAAAAUUAUCCCAAACAAAGAUUAUAUAAAGAGAUUAUUUGCUAGAAAAGUGAAGUUCCAAACAACAAGAAUUAAAUUUUGCCCCAGUUUAUCAUCAAAGGACUUUUGUGAAAGUCACAUCAUUAUAGGGAUUAAGGAGAAUGACUCGACUAAAAGGUAGGUCUUAUAGGAAUCAAGGGGAAUGACUCGACUAAAAGGUACAUCUUAUAGGAAUCAAGGGAAAACUCGACUAAAAGGUACGUCUUACAGGAAUCAAAGGGAAUGACUCGACUAAAAGGUACGUCUUCUAGGGGUCAAGGGAGAAUGACUCGACUAAAAGGUAUGUCUUAUAGAGAUCAAAGAAAAUAACUCUACUAAAAGGUACGUCUUCUAAGAGUCAAGGGGAAUGACUCGACUAAAAGGUAUGUCUUAUAGAGAUCAAAGAAAAUAACUCUACUAAAAGGUACGUCUUCUAAGAGUCAAGGGGAAUGACUCGACUAAAAGGUAUGUCUUAUAGGAAUCAAGGGAGAUGACUCAACUAAAAGGUACGUCUUAUAGGAAUCAAGGGAGAUGACUCNNNNNNNNNNNNNNNNNNNNNNNNNNNNNNNNNNNNNNNNNNNNNNNNNNNNNNNNNNNNNNNNAAAGGAAAUAACUCGACUAAAAGGUACGUCUCCUAAGGGUCAAGGGGAAUAACUCGACUUAAAGGUACGUCUUAUAGGAAUCAAGGGAGAUGACUCGACUAAAAGGUACGUCUUAUAAGAAUCAAGGUAGAUGACUAGACUAAAAGAUACGUCAUCUAGGGGUCAAGGGAAAUGACUCGAUUAAAAGGUACGUCUUCUAGGGGUCAAGGGAAUGACUCGACUAAAAGGUGCGUCUUCUAGAGGUCAAGGAAAAUAACUCGACUAAAAGGUACGUCUUAUAGGAAUCAAGGGGAAUGACUCGACUAAAAGGUACAUUUUCUAGGGGUCAAGGGAAUGACUCGACUAAAAGUUACGUCUUAUAGGAAUCAAAGGAAAUGACUCGACUAAAAGGUAUGUCUUCUAGGGGUCAAGGGAAUGACUCGACUAAAAGGUACGUCUUAUAGGAAUCAAAAGGAAUGACUCGACUAAAGGUACGUAUUCUAGGGGUCAAGGGCAAUGACUCGACUAGAAGGUACGUCUUCUAGGAGUGAAGGUUCAAUUUAAGAAGUGUAUCACCCAACAAAUAAAAACUGAAAUCCCUAGACAAGAAAGUGUGUCUCCGAGGGAUAUAAGAUGAUGAAUUUUUACCAUGAUUUAAUUAUCAAACCUGUGCAGCAACAUUGUUUCCUGCAUUUGUAAAAGUGAGAAAUUACGGGCCUUGAUGUUUAGGCUUUGAAAUCCUUGAUUUGAAGGUAACAUGUGUUCCUAUUUCAUGCAAAGAAAGGUUGUGAGUUUAAAAAUAUGGUGGCUGGUUUGUGGCUUUGGCUUUCAUGGUAAACGCUCUUGCCGUCAUCACAUUUAAGAGUGACUGAGACAAACACAGCAUCUCUGUUUUGCCAUGCUUCUUAGAUAGACCCCUUGGAACCUUGGUAUUUCAUGAGUUCCUAGACUUAUUUAUUGACAAAACUUUCUGCUUACCUCAUUUUGGCUCACAAUCAUGUCUCUUUCAUGCGUUGGCCUUUUUGCCUUGCUUUGUACAAUUGAAGAAGCUGGUAGCCAGUUUUGAAAUCUUUUCUCACUUAUUUUGACAUAGACUUAACUCAAAGACAAGAAAAAAAUGACAAUGAUUUUAUUUGGAUAACUGACUCAAGAAAAAUAAAAAUAUAACUAUAGAAAAGAAAGAAAUAAUAAUAAACGUCCUUAUUCAAAAAGAUGAAAGAAAAGUUUAUCUAAAAAUGACAGUCAACUCUAAUGAUUAUGACAUGCAUAUCGGAUUAAACUGGCUGAUCUUUCCAUCCAAAAUUCUUACAAAUUGUUGUUGAGUUAACGACCCUGAAAGUGAGUUGCUUUCUUGGACCAAUUGCAUUCGGAGACCUCAUUCGGCUAGUGGCGCCUUGAAGGGUUUUCACCAACAAGCCUCUUUCAUUUUCUUUUAUCACCUGACUAUUGCCUUAUAGUAUCCGAGAGGUUUUUUUACCAAUAAGAUUCUUAUUUUUAUUUUUCUCAACUCACAAUCGUCUUACAGUGCCCGUGAAGGUUUUCACCGAUAAGACUCUCUCAUUUUUAUUUAUCUCAACUCACCGUCGUCUUACAGUGCCCGUGAGGGUUUUCACCGAUAAGACUCUCAUUUUCGUUUCUCUCCUGAUUUCUUAUGCUGAGGAAGACAAGUAGUUUCUAAAAUGCGUUAUCUACAUCCAUUGCAUGCUUAGCCUGAGCAUUCUCGAAGAUUGAUCUGAAGGUCUUUCUUUGGUUGUAACUUGACUUUUGGAUAAGGUUAGAAAGAAAGGAUGGCAUGGGGACCGAAUGAUACUUAAAGUGGGGUGGGAUAUACAACUUUUAGAAUCGACUCAAACAAUGAGGAUUAACUCAUGCCCCAGUUUCUUUUGACUGGGCAAUUCUAAAUUAUUUAUUUGGUUGGACCGAGCCCAGAGUAGGGUAGCCUACGUAUCUCAACCUCGAGAGAGGAGAAUCAGGUCACGCGUAGUUCUAGCAGCUUGUUCUUUUGAUUGAUUCUGAUUUUUGUUUCUUUUUUUUCUCUUUUCUCUUUAGGAUUUUUUUUCUGACCCUAUUUUGAUACUCUUUUCUUUUCUUUCCUUUUGUACACAUUUUUUUUUCGACACUUUUCUUUUGAGUUUUACUGACUCUAUCUUGGUUCCAAAAGAAGGGUAUGAAAGAAAAUAAAACAAGAGCUUAAAUGGGGGUAAACAAAGGAUGACACGAUGUUUGGAUAGCAGAAUGAAAUGCCUUCGUCAUAUCAAUCCUUAAAAAUGUAAGUACAUAUCUUGCAAUAUAAAAGUGAAAGAUGAAGAUCACUUGUGACAUCUUUUACAAAUUAACUUUGACUGAGUUUGUGCGUCACUAUUUCUUCUGCAAACUCCACAUUUAUUGUACAGUCCUCACAUUGAAUGACUCAUGAUUUUGUGAAGCUGAUUUUCUUCCUGUUCACACAGCCACUAUUUGACCUAAUUGAGACAUGUCGGUCAAUUGAUGACCAAGUUAUUCUUGUGAUUCUCAAAAUAAGUGCCUUAAUUUCCAGAAAAGGCUUCAACUGUCACCAAAUGUUUCAGCACUCUACCUAUUUUCUCUGAUUUUUCUCUUUUUUUUUUAACCUUAGCCCUUUGAUUCAAAGUUCAUGCUAAAACUGGUUUUCAAGAUCCAACUGAAAAUUUCGCAAGCAUGUCAUAUCACUAGAAUCAACACAAAAUUGACUGUGUAAAGAAAACAAACAACACAUACUUAAAACACAAAGGGAAAGGGACACUUCAUUUAGUUGAAAUAAAAUAUAGAAGGGUUUGAACAUGCAUGACAAAGGGAUAAAACAAGAUAGAUCCCGAACUACAACCCUGAAAUAACUUAGAAAACAGAAAAGAAAAGAAAACAAACUACCAGACCUCUUCCUAGCAGGGAGGAGGGUGACUUCUCAAUUGGUCAGCCUAACAACUUAGCCACUGGUUUGCAUAUCAGCAUGACUAGAGCUUUCCUCACUGUCAGACACAUUCCCUUCAGUAAAUAAGUUCUGGAUUCCCAUGCUUAACUUAUUUUCUCCCACAUAUUUUGCAGUACCUCAUACUAGUGAAGAACUCUGUGGGAUGCUCGAGGUGCCAACGUUUUGCACUAUAAUCACUUUUUCUUGAAUCAUCUUGUCUAUUUCUCUUUUCAAAGUACGACAAUCUUCAAUACAGUGACCUUGAAUAUUAGAAUGAUAUGCACACCGUAUAUUAGAGUAAAAAUUUCUUGAAUAUGGGUCAGGUGUAUACCCAAGGAGAGGAGUGAUCAUGCCCUACUGUACCAAUCUCUGGAAUAAACUGGCAUAGGAUUCCCCAAUAGGAGUGAAAUUAUCUUUUUUCUUCCUCAUCUUUGCGAACUCUGGCCUCGGAUGAAACUUGGAUUUAGAGGUUCCUUGGUAAAUUUGUGGGGGUCGAGGAUGAUGUUGAGAGACAGGUGCAUGCCAUUGUGGAUAAGAAGAUGGAUGAGCAUACAAUUGUGCAUUGUUCAAAGGAUAUUGAGGAAGUGGAAUGGGAUUUCUUGGAUUUUGGGGAAAGAAACCUUGUUGCAAGUGGUUAUGUGGAUCUAAUAUACAAGCUUGGGAUUGAGGCUAACAGUAUUGGUAGGUUGGACCUCUCAAACUCUACUUUGGCCCUGGCAUGACAAUAGGUCUGUUUUCCUUCUUCUUUCCUUCAGUUUCCCUUGGUUGAUUACAAUGUUGUCCCAAAUAUUUCACAUAAUCCUUCUGUCCAUCAGGCUCCCCAAAUUUUGAUGUCUCAAAGUUGGGAAGAAGGUUAACACUUGAAAACAUGCCCCAGUUUUUAUAUGAAACAUCUUCAUAGCUCAUAAGUCCGGGGGAAUUUUUCAUAUCAUUUUCUACACUAUUAACUUUCCAACCACUUUAUCUAGCUCUUCUAGUAUGCUAGACUUCUUAGUAAGAAAUUUUGGCGGUCCACUUUAUUUAAUGGUAGGCUCAAGAGUAUAACAAUGAUCAUCAAGAGUAUUGAACAUGGAUUCACUAGUGGACUGGGGAAGCACAAUCGUUGGAUUGAUAGCCAAAGUGAAUGUGGUAGACUUAUACUGAGGAGCUAAAGAAAGAGUGGUGGAAGUAUUGAGGUGCAUUUGACGUGGAAUGGAUUCUGAGGCAUGCUGUGGUGUAUCAACAACAGAAGGAAACUGACUUUGCAAUUUUGGUGGAAGACUCAAGGUAUUUGCAGGGUCAAAAGUGGGGAACGGAGGUGGAGGCAGCCCACUAGCCCAAGCUCGGUACAUUUCCAUCAUUUGUUGUCUCAGUCUCAAAUUCUCUUCCUUUAAACUCUCAAUUUCCUGACUCUUGGUUUCAUCCAUGGUGCCACUCUCUAUAUCCUUGUUGGACAUAACUAAACCUUCCUUGGAUUUGGUAUGAUAUGGAGGACUAGCCAGGAAGCCUCAAACCAACCACCUUAAACUAACUGAACAAGAUGCAAUAAAUAUGUUAGAGUUUAACCUUUUUCAAAACCUCUUUUUUUUUAAAAAAGAUCACCGAACCCAAGAAGGGCGCCUACGUAUCUCACCCCCGAGGGGGGAGAAUCAGGUAUGCGUAAUUCGUGAAGUCUUGCCAAAAUGGCCAAUUGAACUCUUUGUUUUCUUUCUUUUUUUUUCUUUUUCUCGAAACUUUACAAGAAAAGAAAAUAACAAUUUGUCAAAAGAAUUGACGAAAAUGUUUUUGAAUUUUUCAGCUUUAACAUCCCUAUACAAUGUGAAAUCUAUGAUUACCAAAGAUUUUUUAUUUUUUUUUUGUAUUUUCAGUUUUAAAUUUCAUAUGAAAAUGAAACCUGAACCUAUUAAAGGAAAAUCUUUUUGCAGUUUUCUUUUAAAGGUGUAAAUGAAACACUUACUCUAAAUAAAGAGUGAAGAAAAUCCUUUUGAAUUUUUUUCAAAUAAGAUCCCCGAACCGACAAUAAGCUGCCUACGUAUCUCACUCCCGAAAGAGGAGAGUCAAGGGUGCGUAGUUCGUCCAGAUUGGACAAUUAAGGAUUAAUUAACAAACUAAAUCCUGAAUUGAGAGACACGACUAAAGACAGACGAAUAAAAUCUUUUUGGAUUCUGAAUUAUAAACUAACACCAACAACUAUGAAAGAAAAAAAAUCUUUUUGAUAUUUUCGUUAUAUAAAAAUGUACAAAGCUCCUAUUGAAAGGAAAAAAUAUUUUUGGAGGUUUCUAAUUGUGAAUACCUACUAAAGAAAUAAAAGGAAACUAUUUUUAACGUUUUAGAUUUUUUGGGAAAUGAGUGCAUAAAGUAAAAAAAAAAAUUUUUUUUUUAAUUGUGAAAAACAAAAGUCAUAAAGAACCCUAAAAACUACCAAAUACGCUUUUUUCUUCCUUUUUUCAACAAUUUCCUUCCUACACACGUUGCUUUUAACUCAUGCUUUUGCCCAAAUCAGUCUGUCAAAUGACCUUGUUACCCUCAAAGAUACAACAUUUAUCACGUAGGGAUGCUUUAGAGGUGAGUUUCCUACAAAGGACCAAGUGGCUCCCGCUAGGUCUUCAAUAUGAUGCACAUAAAUAUGACCUAAAGGCUGACCUACGUUGUGGUUCACUAACAAGGCUGUUUGGGGAAUCGUAUGGUCGAUAAUGGCUGCUUUGCUUUCCACCUACUCCAUAACACCGACGGCUCCCCCUCUUAAAAUAAGGGUGACUCAACUAGAGGUUGUGUACAACACGUGUACUACGGACUUGUUGCAGAAAGAAUGACUCGGGUUAUGCACAUGAUACCAGAUAUAAAGCGGUAACACAUAAAGUAAAACUGUAAACAAAGAGCACGUAGGCACUUAACACUGAUAAAAUGAAUACGAACAAUAACACAAACAAUGUCUAUACACCCAUAAUGUCAAACAAAGCCGAUAUAACUCCAAAAUUAGCUCGAAUUCUGAAAAGUCCCCAGCAGAGUCGCCAGAUCUGUCACACCCCUUUUUUCAACUCCAUAAAGAUUGUAUUUUUAUGUUUGAAAAUUCGAAAGUGUUUUUAUUAUUAAAGUGACAAAAGAUUGAAAUUUUAUUUUUGAAAAAGGAUUAUUUACAUUUUUUAUUCAGAGUCGCCACUUGACAUAAUUCGGUGUGUCAAGUCACCUUUGAAAAAUCCUUUUCAAAACAGUUUGACUCUAAAAGCUGAUCUACGAACAGAGAUUCCGAUUAAGGAAUUUUGUUGAUCAAGGAAAAGGUGUUAGGCACCCCUCGGUCCCGUGGUUUGACCACGAUCGCUUGGUGAAGCGUAUCGGCUAAUUUGACAUUAUGAAUAUAUAAACCACACAAAACAAUCAAUCAAACAAACAAACAAAACAAAUCCAAAAUUAUAUUGUCCAGUCCGAUUAUUACAAUCCCGAAAUAGAAAAGUGCGAAAAUAUAAACCUACUCUAUUCUAUGCUAAUUCUAAACUGCACUCCAUUGCUUUCUCCACCCGACGUUUCGGGCCUUGAUCGUGCGUCGUUUUCAAUUACAUGGUAUUUCGGAGCAUUCCCCGGAUAAAUCAAUACAAAUCCUCUGGGGCAUUCCCCGACCAAAUAAAUACAAUAGAUCCCAAUGCAUAAAUCAAAAUUAUUCCACAAACAUUUCAUCAUUCGACAAUCACAAAUUCUAAACUUUGCCUACCCAACUUACGUUUUCCUAUUACUUCCGACUUAUCAUGCUACUACCACGUUUAACAAUGUCAACAUCGAUCAAGAUGACAAAUUAAAUAAACUAAGUGAAAUUACGAAUUAACCAGCUUCGAUACCAGCCCCAGAUUACGAUUUAACCCCAAAUUGAGUCCAAGUUCUUUGAUUAUUCCAAUUCAAAACAAUCAAUCGAUCGACGUCAACAAUCAACCACUAUGAUCCAAAAUAUAUCAAAAUCAACAAAACAAAAUAAAACCCACACACCAUGAAUUUAUCACACCAAGUAUUACACGAUUAAAAAUUAAUUGAGAAUAAAAUGAAGAAUGGACCUUUUAUUCAAUCAAACAGAGGAGCCUCGCGAAUUCGGAUCCUCGACUUAAACCGACCUUGACAAAACCCCAUUUGGCGUCGAAUUUUGACCCCGAAACAGAUUUGAAAAUCAAGCGGAACCUCAAAAUCGCAAACCUCAAUUAACAAAUCAAACGAACAAUGGAAAACUCAAACGGAGGGGUGAACUGGCGCUACUGGUCGCCGAUUUUGGUGAUAUUACCCAAUAGAUUCCAAUAAUUUCGGCCAUAACAGUGAAGGACGGGACUGGGGAGAUGUUUUUUUGGUCAGUCACAUUUUCGAUCAGACCACCAAUCGAUUUCAGCUUGCCGUCGCCUUUCUCCCUCUCUCUCCAAUCUCACAAUCUCACUCUUGCUCGAAUUUCUCAUUCUUUAUCUCCCUCCUCUCUCGAUUUCUCCCUCACAUUGGUGUUACUGUAUGUGGUGUGUUUGUGAACGAAGAAAAAAAGAAAAAAAUGGUGUAUGCCUCUGUUUCCGUGGUUGAUUCUGUGUGUGGUGUAUACGAGGUGCUAUGGUCUUCUGUGAGGGGUGAUUAUUGUGAAUGGAAUUGUGUGGGUGUGUACCGUGUGUAUGUGCUUCAAUGGAAAAAGAAAAUAGAGAAAUUGAGCUAUGGGUGUAUCCUCUAGUGAAUCGAAAUUGGGAGUCUAUCAUGUGGAGUGUGUAUGUGAAUAUGGUGAUGGAGUAUGUGCUCUUUUUUCAUAAGGAUUUUUUGGUAUCCCCGUCCCUUUUUCUAACC